UCCCUAGUGGCUCAGGUGGUAAAGAAUCUGCCUGCAAUGCAGGAGACCUGGGUUCGAUCCCUGGGUCGGGAA
rnacentral:tRNA from 1 species